GGGGGGGGGAGCAUGGAUGCUCUGAUGUGCGUGAGAUGCCUUUUCUGGAUUCUGUGCUUCUUGGCUAUAGCCUGAUAUUCCAGCUCGAGUCACAGGAGAAUCUCAUCCUAGUGUUAUAUCCAUGGCUCUCCGGUCCUCUAAGAUGUGUGGGAAAUGGCUAAUAUAUAGUAGGAUUGUGCUUGUCCCGAUCUAUCCUUGCCCUACCACACAACAAGUUGAGCCUGUAUCUGCUAUUAACAAUGGCAAAGCCAGGCAGUUCUAAAUGCAGAGGAUCGAGUUCACAUGCCAUAGAGGUCUUGUGGCUACUUAGAUAUCUCAAGACCUUAGGACUGUAGUAUUUUGUAUCUAUCAGCAAUCAUCCUUUCCACCAGAUCCUACAUAGUAUCAGAAUCUCCCAGGAUUCCUUGCAGCUAUGAUCUAAAACCGAGAUCCUGCUGGACAGCAAAACCAUCUCCUUAGUGUUUCUGGUCAAUCUGGAAAUACUGUUCUUUCUUCACUCCUUCAUAUUGGCCUUUUGACAAGUGCUGUCUCUGGUGAGCAGGGUUGGGUGUUCUGAACAUCUGAUUCUGUCUCAGGUCUCCUUCGGUGUUUGUUUAGAAAGCCACUGUGUCAGGCAUAUGAAUGUCAUCUGGAUUUUCCUUCUUCACAGCGCCUACACUAAGUCUGCAAAUCAGAGGUAGGAGGUGACCUGUCUUGAGUAGAACCCUGACCCUAAGAGUGAAGAUCCAUUGAGACUUUUUAGGUGGUGUUAUGAAUCUAUUCCCAGCCUAUGAAACAUCAUGACUGCUAUUCAUGAAUCCCAGGCACUUGACCUCUGGCUGGGGAUGGGACUCUCAUCAGCAUCUCUUCAGAAAUGGACUUCCCAAUCUGGAGAAUGGCAAGGGGGCAGCAUGUGGCAUUCUGCCCAAGUUCGACAUUCUGAAACCCAGAUGUGCAAGCCUGCACCAGUAACCACGUGGGUGAGCUUGUGUGGACACAGAACUCUCUUCGCAAAACUAGGAGCCAGAACCUUCAGCUACCUUGCUUCCGUUGAGGCCUUUCCAGAUGCAGCCAGACAUCUUCAGGGUCAACCACCUUGCAGGUAAAACAUUCAGGAAAAAAGAGUCCUCAUGAGCACAUACAGAUUUUCUUUUUUUUAAAUUAGUCCCUAAACAUGACAGUACGGUUACUAUUUAUGUAGAGUUCACAUUACAUUUGUAUUUUAAGUAAUCUCCUGGGAUAACUAAAUUUAUACAGGAGGAUGUGCUUGCGUUAAAUACGAGCACUUUGUCAUCUUAUUACAUAAGAUGCCUAAACAACCGCUAAUUUAGGGGUGUAGGAGUGAUGUCAGAUGCCGUCUCUCAGGGACACUGAGAGAUAACUGGCUGUGUUAGGGGCCGUCGUUAGAAGUUUUUCUCACGCAUAAGCACAUCCCCAGAAGGCUGAAGGCCAUGUAAAAAAUUUCACCAGCUUACUUUUCCUCAGCCUUCUCCAUGUGGCUUUUAUCACUGACACACCCAAGAGGGGUUGUCUUUCUAACCACAGACAUGGAACUAGUCCCUUUCUUUCAAAAGCAACAGCAUGCUAUCGGAUUGUCAGUGUCUUUCUCUGGAAAUUGCUCUCCAGAUCUCCCGCCCACUCCUAGACAGGUGAGUCAUCCUCAGGUUUAUUGGACUCACGCUCUAUGUGCCCAGAGCCUGCAGGUCUGCGUAGUUCAACCCUCCUCCAUCGUGGCCAUCUGCAUUCCACUGGGGCCUCUGACUUCCUGGAUUUCCUUUGCUUGUUUCCCGUUGAGCUUUAUUAAUGGAAGGAAAUAAGAAGGCCAU
rnacentral:lncRNA from 1 species